UGGGGAAUAUUGCGCAAUGGGGGGAACCCUGACGCAGCCAUGCCGCGUGAAUGAAGAAGGCCUUCGGGUUGUAAAGUUCUUUCGGUAUUGAGGAAGGUUGAUGUGUUAAUAGCACAUCAAAUUGACGUUAAAUACAGAAGAAGCACCGGCUAACUCCGUGCCAGCAGCCGCGGUAAUACGGAGGGUGCGAGCGUUAAUCGGAAUAACUGGGCGUAAAGGGCACGCAGGCGGUUAUUUAAGUGAGGUGUGAAAGCCCUGGGCUUAACCUAGGAAUUGCAUUUCAGACUGGGUAACUAGAGUACUUUAGGGAGGGGUAGAAUUCCACGUGUAGCGGUGAAAUGCGUAGAGAUGUGGAGGAAUACCGAAGGCGAAGGCAGCCCCUUGGGAAUGUACUGACGCUCAUGUGCGAAAGCGUGGGGAGCAAACAGGAUUAGAUACCCUGGUAGUCCACGCUGUAAACGCUGUCGAUUUGGGGGUUGGGGUUUAACUCUGGCGCCCGUAGUUAACGUGAUAAAUCGACCGCCUGGGGAGUACGGCCGCAAGGUUA
rnacentral:rRNA from 1 species